rnacentral:rRNA from 1 species
CCUACGGGUGGCAGCAGUGAGGAAUAUUGGUCAAUGGACGCAAGUCUGAACCAGCCAUGCCGCGUGCAGGAUGACGGCUCUAUGAGUUGUAAACUGCUUUUGUACGAGGGUAAACCCCGAUACGUGUAUCGGGUUGAAAGUCUAGUACGAAUCAGGCACGGCUAACUACGUGCCAGCAGCCGCGGUAAUACGGAGGUGCCGAGCGUUAUCCGGAUUUAUUGGGUUUAAAGGGUGCGUAGGCGGUUUGAUAAGUUAGAGGUGAAAUGGCGGGGCUCAACCCCGGAACUGCCUUUAGUACUGUUGGACUAGAGAAUAGUUGCGGUAGGCGGAAUGUAUGGUGUAGCGGUGAAAUGCUUAGAGAUCAGACAGAACACCGAUUGCGAAGGCAGCUUACCAAACUAUAUCUGACGUUGAGGCACGAAAGCGUGGGUAGCAAACAGGAUUAGAUACCCGUGUAGUC